AGCGAACGCUGGCGGCAGGCCUAACACAUGCAAGUCGAACGGAUCCUUCGGGAUUAGUGGCGGACGGGUGAGUAACACGUAGGAACGUGCCCUUUGGUUCGGAACAACUCAGGGAAACUUGAGCUAAUACCGGAUGUGCCCUUCGGGGGAAAGAUUUAUCGCCAUUGGAGCGGCCCGCGUCUGAUUAGCUAGUUGGUGAGGUAACGGCCCACCAAGGCGACGAUCAGUAGCUGGUCUGAGAGGAUGAUCAGCCACACUGGGACUGAGACACGGCCCAGACUCCUACGGGAGGCAGCAGUGGGGAAUCUUGCGCAAUGGGCGAAAGCCUGACGCAGCCAUGCCGCGUGAAUGAUGAAGGUCUUAGGAUUGUAAAAUUCUUUCAGCGGGGACGAUAAUGACGGUACCCGCAGAAGAAGCUCCGGCUAACUUCGUG
rnacentral:rRNA from 1 species